GCUCCCAUAGCUCAGUUGGUAGAGCAUUCGCCUAGACAGUGAAAGGUCCCCAGUUCAACACUGAAUGGAGGCA
rnacentral:tRNA from 1 species